rnacentral:rRNA from 1 species
UACGUAGGGUGCAAGCGUUGUCCGGAUUUAUUGGGCGUAAAGAGCUCGUAGGCGGUCUGUCGCGUCGGAUGUGAAAACCCAGGGCUCAACCCUGGGCCUGCAUUCGAUACGGGCAGACUAGAGUACGGCAGGGGAGACUGGAAUUCCUGGUGUAGCGGUGAAAUGCGCAGAUAUCAGGAGGAACACCGAUGGCGAAGGCAGGUCUCUGGGCAUUAACUGACGCUGAGGAGCGAAAGCAUGGGGAGCGAAUAGG